AGGGACUUAGGAUAAAAUUAGACCAAGAGCCUUCAAAGCUCCAAGCGGGAGUGAAAAUCUCCCAGCCCCUG
rnacentral:tRNA from 1 species